rnacentral:lncRNA from 1 species
AUAACCCCUACAAUGAUGACUUGUAGCUGGGGUACGAGCACCAAAAUAAUGGCCCGACUCUCGAGACCUCUUGACCUCCCUCUCCUCUCUCUCCCUAACAUGCAUACCCUCAAUGCUCCUAGGAAUGCUCACCACCUGCUGAGAAGGAAUAUCCAUCUACAACUCACAAGUCAUGCUAGACCUGAUGCUGGGAAUAACCCCCUUAAUAAACUGGCAAACCCUCUCACGAACAGUAGAAACCCAGGCCGGUGCAUGCCUAGCCAAACUAGUAUAACGGACAACAUACUCUGAAAUAGUCAUAACACCGUGUGCAAAUGCUCAAACUCGACAUGUCAUGCAUAUCUGAGGCUCUGAGGAACAAACUCUCUCAAAAAUGGAUCUGAAAACUGGGUCCAAGUUAGCAAAGUAGCCUCGUCCGGACUGUCUAACUCAUAGGUGCAGCACCACUUAUAGGCAGCUCCUCGAAGCUGGAAAGUUGUGAAUGAAACCCCGUUUGUUCGUGAUAUACCCAUGGUACAGAAAAUACGAUAGCGCUCCUAAUAAAUCCCAAGGUAUCAUCCGAUUCUAAUCUAUUGAACACCGAAGGAUCAUAUUUCUUGAACCUCUCAAGUCUCCGUUGCUCAUCCUCUAAAGUUGAUGCC